rnacentral:lncRNA from 1 species
AGUGGCCUCUGCCCGGCCUUGCUCUGCUCAGGGGCAGCUCUUUCAGAGGUCCGGAGGAGAAUUCCAAGCCACUAGAGUAGAGAAAAUCUCUGGCCGCCUCCAUUGCGAUUCCCAACCCACCCGAGGAGAGGACGGACCCAGUAGCUGAGACGAAAUGGCUUGGGCUUGCUCUGCAUCGUGCUGAUACGAUCAAAGGGAAUAGCCGGGGGUUUCUGAGAGCCCAGCUAUUUGGAUCAUUCAUGAUUUGCUGCCAUUGUGAACACUCUUAAUGCGAGAACUCUGCCACAGAAAUGCUGAUUAAUAAAGAGGACUGACGGGGGCUAGAGGAAAAGCCGGACAGGGCUCCGAACGAGCCCCACUAAUUGCUGCCUCCGUCUGCCUUCCACUUGUUAGUGACCAGUUCAACAUUCC